CGUACAAACAGGUAUAUCAAUUCACGAUUAACCCAAUUCCCUCGUUUGAUGAGGACUUUGACUUGUACGAUGCGUGUAAUGCUCCGCCCGAUGUCUUUGUUAAUGCACCUGAUUCGAGAACUCGACCGGGACGUAGAAAGACAAAAAGAAUUCCUUCACAAGUGCAAACUCGUAAACUGAAGUGUACUCGGUGUGGGAAGCCUGGACACAAUCGUCGUACUUGCACACAACCAAUCUGACUAGCAAUUUUUUUUAAUGGAGGACAAGAUGGAGGAGAGCUUACAUGAUUGCCCAUUAUGUUAUUCAAGUGAUUGAAGUGAAUGAAAACUGGCUGUUUGUACUUUAUUAUUAUGUGAUUUGCACUAUGUUGUUUUGAACUUUGUGCUAUGUUUCAAUUUGCACUAUGUUUUUGCUAUUUGUAGUUUGUACUAUGUAUUAGGUACUCUGUUCAUUGAUGGUUUAUCAUUUUCAGUCUAAUGGUACUAUUUUUAUUUACACAUGGUAUUGGAUA